rnacentral:misc_RNA from 1 species
AUGAAUGCUUAUCAAAAGGAACCAACCCUCACACCAGCUGCACACAGUACGCAACUAGUGCAGAGAAAAAUGGCGACACUAAAGACAAUAGCUCUUGUAGUUGUCCUCAUCCACUUUGUUCCGGAUGUCUAUGGCUUGUCGUCAGACGACACUUGCAGAGAGAGGCUUGAUAAUCUAGAGAAACUAUUGGCAAACCUAAAUGAGAAAUUCGAAAACCAUCAAACGGAAAACACCAAAGUAGACGCGAUGUUCAGAAUUAUUCAAGACGAAAAUAGUUACCUGAAAAGUAGACUGAAAUCUCUAGAAGAAAUUGUUCUUACCUCGAAUCGCCGGACGGAGAAACUUGAAGCCAAGAUUGCAGAUUUAGAAUCUUCAAACUGGUUUCUGAAAUCCAGAUUGACAACAGAAAAAACUAACUAUAGGGUCAAUAAGAAAUAUUCGAGUACUUUACUUGGUAAUCUGAAAACGGAUGAGUCGAGGAAAGAAAACACGACUACCGGGCCAGCAUUAGCUCAAGGCAAUGAGAUGGAGGUACUUCGCAAAACGGCAUUGGUAAAACGCAAAAUUAAUCAGUUAGAGAAUAAACCGAGUGCAUCGAACGAAAAACGUCUCCUCACAGGAAUCCACUCAACCUCCACCCCAUUCCCACAUGGUGCUGCAUUUUCUGCAUACGUGUCUGUCUCUACAACGGGCUUAUCUAAUGGUUUUACCAUUCACUUUGACACCAUUAUAACAAACAUUGGCAACCAUUACAACAAACAUACAGGAGCAUUCACCGCGCCACAACACGGUGUUUACGUGUUUACGUGGAAUCUAUACUGUGACGCGGGAGGGUACAUACAUUCUCAGCUUGUUGUGAACUCUAACGUAGUUUUGGGACUAUGUUUACAAGCGCGGAAGGUGCUACUGAUAUCAGAAGUCACACAGGUAUUGUGGUUGUCAAGGUUAACCAGGGCGAUAUUGUUUUUGUUCGUGCCCACCCUACAAUUGGUCACUCUGGAAAUCUCUACAGUCACCAAGACUGGCGAUCAUCCUUUAAUGGCUGGAAACUGUACUAAAUUUAUAUUAAUAAAAUGGAUUCUCUACAAC